GGAAAGACAACAGUCGAAGACAGAAAUCUGGGUUGGGUAAAGAGGGGAGGAGAGAUGUUAAGACGUGGGAGAGAAAGACAACAGAGGAAGGUGCUGAGCCUUUGCCUUCCACUCUGAUGUGUUGCCAGGAUUUUGGACUGUUUUGGAUUUGAUUGCACCUCGUUCUCAUCAUUAAAACCACAUUUUUUCAUCUCA